UUGACAGGACGUUACUUAAUA
rnacentral:siRNA from 1 species